CACGUAGGGGGCGAGCGUUGUCCGGAUUUAUUGGGCGUAAAGAGCUCGUAGGCGGUUCGAUAAGUCGGGUGUGAAAACUCUGGGCUCAACUCAGAGACGCCACCCGAUACUGUUGUGACUUGAGUCCGGUAGGGGAGUAUGGAAUUCCCGGUGUAGCGGUGAAAUGCGCAGAUAUCGGGAGGAACACCAGUGGCGAAGGCGGCUCACUGGGCCGGACCUGACGCUGAGGCGCGAAAGCGUGGGGAGCGAUCCGG
rnacentral:rRNA from 1 species